rnacentral:misc_RNA from 1 species
AGCAUUCUUCAUGUCUGGAGCAGGUCGGACAGUAGGUUUCGCAAAUGAUAACCCAAGGGGGCAACCAAAAUAUCUCCCAUAUACCUCCAUGAGAACUUCAUUAAUACAAUCAAAGAGAAGUUUAUUGUCAUAGCAAAGCUGGUUGGGAAAGAACUCUACCUCAUCAAAUAUUGAUGGGUCGAGAAGCGGGUCAGAAGAACUGGACAUGAUAUAGAACUCAUCCCAGUUCUCUUCAGAGGCUUGCACUACUGCUUUCACAUACUCAAAUAUUGAUUCCUUCUCUGCUAUAUAAGCUUUCAAAGGAGUCCCCAUAUCUGCAGUGGAAGGAACAUGCUCUUCAAACUGAAUUCUUCGUGGUUGAAUUGGC